rnacentral:rRNA from 1 species
UACGUAGGGGCCAAGCGUUGUCCGGAUUUAUUGGGCGUAAAGAGCUCGUAGGCGGUUGGGUAAGUCGGGUGUGAAAACUCCAGGCUCAACUUGGAGAUGCCACCCGAUACUGCUCUGACUUGAGUUCGGUAGGGGAGUGGGGAAUUCCUGGUGUAGCGGUGAAAUGCGCAGAUAUCAGGAAGAACACCAACGGCGAAGGCAGCUCGCUAGGACGGUACUGACGCUGAGACGCGAAAGCGUGGGGAGCGAACAGG